rnacentral:SRP_RNA from 1 species
GCCGGGUGUGGUGGCACACGCCUGUAAUCCAAGUGUCAUGGAGGCUGAGGCUGGAGGAUCGUUGGAGCUCAGGAGCUCUGAGCUGCAGUGGUCUAUGCUGAUCGGGAGUCCGCACUCAGCUCGGUAUCGAUAUGGUCUUUCCAGGGGAGCCUGGAGCAACCAGGUCGCCUAAGGAGGGGUGAACCGGCUCAGGUCAGAAAUGGAGCAGGUCAAAACCCCCGUGCCGCUCAGUUGUGGGAUCACACCUGAGAGUAGACACUGAAGCACAGCCUGAGCAACACAUGAGACCCAGCCUUUU